AACAUGCAAGUCGAACGGAAGUCGUCAUAAUGAUUCUGAUAUGGAUAUGAAGAUUAUCAGAUUGAAAUUGAAGUUGAUUUAUGACAAUGGCUUUAGUGGCGGACUGGUGAGUAACGCGUAAGCAAUCUGCCUAUUAGAGGGGAAUAACAGUGAGAAAUCAUUGCUAAUACCGCAUAUGCCAUAGUUAUCACAUGAUAGUAGUGGGAAAGGAGUAAUCCGCUAAUAGAUGAGCUUGCGUCUGAUUAGCUAGUUGGUGGGGUAACGGCCUACCAAGGCGACGAUCAGUAGCCGGACUGAGAGGUUGAACGGCCACAUUGGGACUGAGAUACGGCCCAGACUCCUACGGGAGGCAGCAGUCGGGAAUAUUGCGCAAUGGAGGAAAAACCUCUGACGCAGUGACGCCGCGUAUAGGAUGAAGGUUUUCGGAUUGUAAACUAUUGUCGUUAGGGAAGAUAAAAGACAGUACCUAAGGAGGAAGCUCCGGCUAACUACGUGCCAGCCGCCGC
rnacentral:rRNA from 1 species